rnacentral:rRNA from 1 species
AGCGAACGCUGGCGGCAGGCCUAACACAUGCAAGUCGAACGAACUCUUCGGAGUUAGUGGCGGACGGGUGAGUAACACGUGGGAACGUGCCUUUAGGUUCGGAAUAACUCAGGGAAACUUGUGCUAAUACCGAAUGUGCCCUUCGGGGGAAAGAUUUAUCGCCUUUAGAGCGGCCCGCGUCUGAUUAGCUAGUUGGUGAGGUAAAGGCUCACCAAGGCGACGAUCAGUAGCUGGUCUGAGAGGAUGAUCAGCCACAUUGGGACUGAGACACGGCCCAAACUCCUACGGGAGGCAGCAGUGGGGAAUCUUGCGCAAUGGGCGAAAGCCUGACGCAGCCAUGCCGCGUGAAUGAUGAAGGUCUUAGGAUUGUAAAAUUCUUUCACCGGGGACGAUAAUGACGGUACCCGGAGAAGAAGCCCCGCUAACUUCGUG